CAGUCCAACAGCUAGCCCAACAAACCAAAAACAACAACUCAACAUAAAUAACCCCUAAAACAAUAAAAUAAACCAAACAAACCAUUUUUCCACCCCAGUAUGGGCGACAGAAAAGGAACUACGGAGCAAUAAAAGAAGUACCGCAAGGGAAUGCUGAAAGAGAAAUGAAACAACUUAGUAAAACCUAAAAAAGCAGAGUUUUAAGCUUGUACCUUUUGCAUCAUGCUUUAGCUAGAGUAAUUUAAGCAAAGCGCACUAUAGUUUAAUUACCCGAAACUAAGUGAGCUACUCCAAGACAGCCUAUUAAUUAGGGCUAACCCGUCUCUGUCGCAAAAGAGUGGGAAGAGCUUUGAGUAGAGGUGACAGACCUAUCGAACUUAGUAAUAGCUGGUUGCCUAAGAAUUGAAUAGGAGUUCAGCCCCUUAGCUUCUUCAUUCACACCGGUUCUACCCUUACCCGAUAUGUAGAAACUUAGGGAGUUAUUCAAAGGGGGUACAGCCCCUUUGAAUGAAGACACAACUUUUAUAGAAGGAUAAAGAUCAUA
rnacentral:rRNA from 1 species